UACGGAGGGUGCGAGCGUUGUUCGGAAUCACUGGGCGUAAAGCGCGUGUAGGCGGCCCACUAAGUCUGAUGUGAAAGCCCGGGGCUCACCCCCGGAAGUGCAUUGGAAACUGGUGGACUCGAGUCCCGGAGAGGAGAGUGGAAUUCCUGGUGUAGCGGUGAAAUGCGCAGAUAUCAGGAGGAACACCAAUGGCGAAGGCAGCUCGCUGGAACGGUACUGACGCUGAGGCGCGAAAGCGUGGGGAGCGAACAGG
rnacentral:rRNA from 1 species